rnacentral:rRNA from 1 species
UAGGGAAUCUUGGACAAUGGGCGCAAGCCUGAUCCAGCCAUGCCGCGUGCAGGAAGACUGCCCUAUGGGUUGUAAACUGCUUUUAUACAGGAAGAAACACUGCUACGUGUAGCAGCUUGACGGUACUGUAAGAAUAAGGACCGGCUAACUCCGUGCCAGC